rnacentral:rRNA from 1 species
CCUACGGGAGGCAGCAGUGGGGAAUAUUGGACAAUGGGCGAAAGCCUGAUCCAGCCAUGCCGCGUGUGUGAAGAAGGCCUUCGGGUUGUAAAGCACUUUCAGUGGGGAAGAAAGCCUUGGGGCUAAUACCCUCGAGGAAGGACAUCACCCACAGAAGAAGCACCGGCUAACUCCGUGCCAGCAGCCGCGGUAAUACGGAGGGUGCGAGCAUUAAUCGGAAUUACUGGGCGUAAAGCGCGCGUAGGCGGUCUGAUAAGCCGGUUGUGAAAGCCCCGGGCUCAACCUGGGAACGGCAUCCGGAACUGUCAGGCUAGAGUGCAGGAGAGGAAGGUAGAAUUCCCGGUGUAGCGGUGAAAUGCGUAGAGAUCGGGAGGAAUACCAGUGGCGAAGGCGGCCUUCUGGACUGACACUGACGCUGAGGUGCGAAAGCGUGGGUAGCAAACAGGAUUAGAUACCCCGGUAGUC